GGUGAGAUGGCCGAGCGGUCUAAGGCGCCAGACUAAGGCUUCAUAUCUCGUCUUAUCUGGUCCGAAAGGGCGUGGGUUCGAAUCCCACUCUCAUCA